rnacentral:SRP_RNA from 1 species
GCCGGAUGCGGUGGCGCGCACCUGUACUUCCUGUGCUACUCAGGAGGCUGAGGCAGGAGGGUCACUUGAGCCCAGGAGUUCUGGGCUGCAGAGCGCCAUGCCAGAGCGGGCGUCUGCAACUGACUUUGGCAACAAUGUGGUGAUCUCCUGGGAGCGGGAGGGGGGACCACCAGGUUGCCUCAGGAGGGGUGAAGUGGCCCAGGUUAAAAACCGAGCAGGUUAAAACUCCUGGGCUGAUCAGAAAUGGUAUCUUUUCUCUCUAACACGGUAGUUCUCACCCAGGUCUCAGCCAUCCCCAGGGAUUCUGACUUA